rnacentral:rRNA from 1 species
UACGGAGGGUGCAAGCGUUGUCCGGAAUUAUUGGGCGUAAAGAGCUCGUAGGCGGUUUGUCGCGUCUGCUGUGAAAACUCGGGGCUUAACCCCGGGCCUGCAGUGGGUACGGGCAGACUAGAGUGCGGUAGGGGAGACUGGAAUUCCUGGUGUAGCGGUGAAAUGCGCAGAUAUCAGGAGGAACACCGGUGGCGAAGGCGGGUCUCUGGGCCGUAACUGACGCUGAGGAGCGAAAGCGUGGGGAGCGAACAGG